CGAGUGGGCCAGACGGCUGCGUGCCCUCGGGCGCGAGGAAAGUCCGGGCUCCACAGGGCAAGAUGCCAGCUAACGGCUGGGCGGGGUGACCCGACGGAAAGUGCCACAGAAAAGAAGACUCCCCGGGCAACCGGAGAAAAGCUGAAACGGUGCGGUAAGAGCGCACCAGCGCGUCGGCAACGACGCGGCUUGGUAAACCCCAUCUGGAGCAAGCGCAAAUAGGAACGCCAUAGGCUCGCCCUGGCCUGCGUUCGGGUUGCGUGCUAGAGACAUGCGGCGACGCAUGUACCAGAUAAAUAGCCGUCCUACGACAGAACCCGGCUUAUCGGCGCACUCGCCGC
rnacentral:RNase_P_RNA from 1 species